CGAUCCCAGAAAAAAAUUCCCUGCCAGAAGUAAAUCACUCAAAAGUUAAAUGGUCGGCCCCUUAGGGUUAUAGGGUUAGUUAACAUGUGUCGUGAAUUUGCUGCCGUAUUGAUAAUUUCGGACGUGUUUAACAAUUUACUUAUAUAGUAAAUUCGAAGGUCGAGCUCAUGCUUGGAAAAUGCUGAUAGCUACACAGGCUCAUUUUCGUAAUCAAGAUCUAAUAAAAAAAAAAAAAAAAUAAAAAAAUGAACGUUAUGAUUGUGGUAAAUGUAGCUACCCAGGUGAAGGUAUGAAUGAAUGAAUGAAUGAUUUAUUGAUUUGGUUUACCACAAUACAAAUAAGUAAUAGUUAUAUAUAUAUAUAUAUAUAUAUAAAUAAAAUGUUAUUAGAAAGAUAUGUAAGUUGAUAGAGAAAAAUAAUAAUUUUGAACAAAAGUGGUGAGGAAGCCCAAAUAGAAACCAACAGGCUUAUAGAAAUUUGGGCUACCUCAUGCUAUGUUGUAUUAAAUACAAAUGUUACGAAAAAUCAUCACGUGACGUAUUUGAAAUAAAUAAAUUAUUGAGAUUAUGUGUAUUGAGAAAAGAAAAACAAUUUUAACAUAUACUGAAAUCUAAAUACAGAUGAAGAGUUAUACGUAUAUCGGGAUUCAACGUAUUAAAGAAUUUAGGACCCUGAUAAUUGACCGAAAACUGACGAAUAUUUGUCCUACGUUGGAGGGCAUAAAAAGUUUUAGCAUUUCGUGUAUUAUAAUUAUGAGUCUGAGUUAUCUGACUACCGUAUGAAAAUAGACCUUCAAAACAUCAGGAAGUAAUUUUUGUUGAUAUAGAUACAUAAAUUUACCCAAUUGAGGUAAAUAGAUAUCCUCAAAUUUCAGUAUUUUGUGUUUGUAAAAAAUAGGAGUAGUAUGAGCACCGAAAAAUUGUUUGUCGACAAUUCGUACUGCACGUUUUUGCAACAGUACAAUACGAUUAAGAUUACUUGAAUAUGUUGAACCCCAAAUCGUAACGCAAAUUUAAAGAUACGGAUAUACUAGUGCAAAAUAUAAAAUCCGCAAGGCAGAUUUGAAUAAAUAAAAUCUUGACCUAUAGAUAAUUCCAAUUGGUUUUGAAAUUUUACGUGCAAUAUAAGAUACAUGAGCUUUCCAUGUUAAAUUCUCUUCCAAAAUAACGCCAAGAAAACAAACUUCUUUAACCCUGUCAAUUAUGUUAUUGUUAAUCGCAAGUGCCAGGUUAUACACUUGUCUUUUUUGCCUGGGUUUAAAUAUUAUGUAAUUUGAUUUCUUUAUAUUCAAAG